AUGAACGCUAGCGACAGGCUUAACACAUGCAAGUCGAGGGGCAGCGGGGGUAGCAAUACCCGCCGGCGACCGGCGCACGGGUGAGUAACGCGUAUGCAACUUACCUAUCAGAGGGGGAUAACCCGGCGAAAGUCGGACUAAUACCGCAUGAAGCAGGGAUCCCGCAUGGGAAUAUUUGCUAAAGAUUCAUCGCUGAUAGAUAGGCAUGCGUUCCAUUAGGCAGUUGGCGGGGUAACGGCCCACCAAACCGACGAUGGAUAGGGGUUCUGAGAGGAAGGUCCCCCACAUUGGUACUGAGACACGGACCAAACUCCUACGGGAGGCAGCAGUGAGGAAUAUUGGUCAAUGGCCGAGAGGCUGAACCAGCCAAGUCGCGUGAGGGAUGAAGGUUCUAUGGAUCGUAAACCUCUUUUAUAAGGGAAUAAAGUGCGGGACGUGUCCCGUUUUGUAUGUACCUUAUGAAUAAGGAUCGGCUAACUCCGUGCCAGCAGCCGCGGUAAUACGGAGGAUCCGAGCGUUAUCCGGAUUUAUUGGGUUUAAAGGGUGCGUAGGCGGCCUUUUAAGUCAGCGGUGAAAGUCUGUGGCUCAACCAUAGAAUUGCCGUUGAAACUGGGGGGCUUGAGUAUGUUUGAGGCAGGCGGAAUGCGUGGUGUAGCGGUGAAAUGCAUAGAUAUCACGCAGAACCCCGAUUGCGAAGGCAGCCUGCCAAGCCAUGACUGACGCUGAUGCACGAAAGCGUGGGGAUCAAACAGGAUUAGAUACCCUGGUAGUCCACGCAGUAAACGAUGAUCACUAGCUGUUUGCGAUACACUGUAAGCGGCACAGCGAAAGCGUUAAGUGAUCCACCUGGGGAGUACGCCGGCAACGGUGAAACUCAAAGGAAUUGACGGGGGCCCGCACAAGCGGAGGAACAUGUGGUUUAAUUCGAUGAUACGCGAGGAACCUUACCCGGGUUUGAACGCAUUCGGACCGAGGUGGAAACACCUUUUCUAGCAAUAGCCGUUUGCGAGGUGCUGCAUGGUUGUCGUCAGCUCGUGCCGUGAGGUGUCGGCUUAAGUGCCAUAACGAGCGCAACCCUUGCCACUAGUUACUAACAGGUAAAGCUGAGGACUCUGGUGGGACUGCUAGCGUAAGCUGCGAGGAAGGCGGGGAUGACGUCAAAUCAGCACGGCCCUUACAUCCGGGGCGACACACGUGUUACAAUGGCGUGGACAAAGGGAAGCCACCUGGCGACAGGGAGCGAAUCCCCAAACCACGUCUCAGUUCGGAUCGGAGUCUGCAACCCGACUCCGUGAAGCUGGAUUCGCUAGUAAUCGCGCAUCAGCCAUGGCGCGGUGAAUACGUUCCCGGGCCUUGUACACACCGCCCGUCAAGCCAUGGGAGCCGGGGGUACCUGAAGUCCGUAACCGCGAGGAUCGGCCUAGGGUAAAACUGGUGACUGGGGCU
rnacentral:rRNA from 1 species